CCUGCCAGAUAGCAGGUCAUCGGAAUGUGGUCUUCGGGACUGAACCGGCCA
rnacentral:ncRNA from 1 species